ACCCGGGUACCCUGGAGGGAGACGGUCAAGGAUUCCACUGCAGCCUCCUUUCUCCGGCCGCCUUCCUUGCCCGAGCCCGCCUGCUGCCCGAAGCCCCCGGCCGCCACCGCCUCCACUCCGGAACUCCCUUUCACCGGCUGCAGCGUCGCCUUACUCCGUCUCUCUCCCUGCCUCCCUCCAUCCCUGCCUUUCCCCCACCUCUCAGACCAACAGAUAUCUCAUAUAUUUGUCUCUCUGCACCCAAGGCCUAGGCUGAGCCGGCUCAACGCUGGGGAAUCGCAGCCGCGGUGCCACGUCCUUGCGCGGCGCGCUUCGCUCCCCGUCCCCCGGCUGCAGCCUCCUUCUUCGUUAGUUGCCGGGUUCUACCGCUUCUCUCUCGCUUUCCCGCUUCUCCUCCUUUCUUUCUGCCUCUGGAUCUGAGAAAUUAAUAAAUCCAAGCUUCCUGCCUCAUCAGCCCUCCCCACUCGUGCUGCCUCACUUCCCCUCCUCCUUACCGAGUGUACCGCCUUGUUUUCGAAGGAAAUCUUAAUAGACAUCUAAGCUGUAAAUGAACUUUUUUUCUUUGUGACGGCUAAUUUUCUCUCCAGUUCUUACGUCCUGCUCGCUUCGCGGUGGAAUAGAAAGGAUUUAGAAGUCUGCAGUAUGGGGGUGGGAGUGGCGGGGUGGAGAGACGGAGCCCAGAGUUACAGACGGCGGCGAGAGAUACGGAAGACGGAGAGAUACCGAGAGAAAAAGAGGCAUUGGGGUGGAGAGAGGAGGGAGGGAGAGAGGGAGGGAGGGAGGAGGGAGGAGGGAGGGGGCCCCAGCUGGCGGGAGCGGAGCCAGAGAGAGAGAAAAGGAGAGAAAAGUUUCCCGGAGUCUUCAUUAGUUGACUUCUGUGUCCACUGCUUCCCCCAGCCGGCCGAGCUCACCCCCAAUAAAGGAAGGAGGGGGGUCUAUUUUUUUUAAGGCCCCAAAGAGUCCAGUGUUUACAAGACCAGAAAUGCCAUGCCGUGGCCACGUCCUGGCAGAAAGAAAGGCUGAAAUGGAGGACUGACGGCUUCCUUAUAAGCUCACUGGGGCCUGAGCCAGUACCAACCUGGCUGAAAAAGCAGCCAUGAAGCCAGAGAGAGAACCAAAGGAGGGAAGAAAGCGCCAGACGGAGAUGAAAAUGAACCAUGCAGAGAAAUGCAGGGGAAGGAGGAGGCUGCAGGUUCGGGAACAAACGUGUGGAGGGCAAGACAGGCACUCGUGGACAGAGAUCCUGCCAAGGUUAAGGAUGGGAACUGGAGUUGAAGAGCUGCUCAGGCCAGAGUCUUCUUCCUGGUUGGCUGGGACAGAGUGGGGGUGCUCUGGGAUUUGAGAGGAUCCUAGAAGACAAGGCCCAGCAUUUACCUCAUCCUGCUCCCUAGACUUGAGUUUGUAAAGUAAAAUUAAAAAAAACUUAAACAAACCUUAGCUUUCAAGGAGCCCUUGCAUGCCCAGAACAUACCCGGAACCUGUCUGUUACACACCUUGCCUGGCUGCUGAGCUUCCUCUCUCCUUCCCCUUUUCCUAACUGGCAGCUCAGAGUAACUCUAUAUUUAUAUUAAGUCUAGAAGGACACAUCAUGAGACAGAAGGGAUAAUGUAAUUAUACAAUGCUUAUUCCAUACAGGUGUGGUGAUGCAGUCAGCCCCUGCUACAAACAGGACUUAGGACACUAAACAUACACCCUGGCUUCAGACAAGAGAAGCAACAGUUAAAUAGAGAUAGGAGACCACCCAUAUAAAUAAUCCAUGUAGACAUAGAAGGGGUUUUGAAAAGACAGAAAUAAUAGACAGAAAUACAGAAGGACAGAAAAGAGGUUCAGCUGAUAGAGAAUGUCAUUGCCAAUGCCUGAGCUUCCUCCUGCCACUGUUUUUAAGAUUGUCAGAAAAAUAUAUAUUAUAAAUACAGUAAUAUGUGAACCCGACGUAUGUACUUCAAUGUAUUUGGUACACAUACACCACGUAUGCAAACAUAAUUCACAGAAUAUAUUUUUCAUACAGGUGGAUUGAUAGGCACUUGGGGUAUAUAUAAUAGCGAUGUAUAUCUUCCAUGCAGUUUUUUUUUAGUGUGGAUAUAUUAAUAUCUGGAUGCAGUGUCCAUGUACUGAUUUUGUGUGCCCUUUGGAGUGUAUACACCCAUGUAGCUAAACAGAUGCAGGACUCUACCUUCCCUGCGCAGGAUAUGUGCACGUGUACAGUUUAUAGAUGUAAAUGAAUUUUUACAUGUGAUGGGUGUACAUGCUAUAUGCAAUCUUUUCCCAGGAGAUUGCUUUCCCAUACAACAGAUAAGAGUGCUUACGUAUGUAUAUUUUCUAGAGAAAUAUAUUUUCCAUUCCCAGAAUGUACACGUAAUAUAGAUCUCUGUGCAUUUUAGACUGUUUCAAUAUAUCGGUUAUGUCUGCA